UGUUCUACUGCAACAUGUGUUGCAAGAAAUGUUUGUGUGUCCCCUCAGGCACAUAUGGUAACAAGGAGGAAUGCCCAUGCUACAACGACUGGAAGACUAAGGAAGGAGGAAUGCCCAUGCUACAACGAUUGGAAGACUAAGGAAGGCAAGCCCAAGUGCCCUUGA